UUGCUGACCAUGACAGAAUUGUCACGUCCCAAUUUUUCAGGACAAUGACUCAGGUCUGCUGAUUCCCAAGUCAGGAUUAAGGUGAAAUGACACCAGGGAUCCUUUAACUCACAAAACUCAAGUU